GUUCGAUCCUGGCUCAGAUUGAACGCUGGCGGGAUGCUUUACACAUGCAAGUCGAACGGCAGCACGGACUUCGGUCUGGUGGCGAGUGGCGAACGGGUGAGUAAUGUAUCGGAACGUGCCUAGUAGCGGGGGAUAACUACGCGAAAGCGUAGCUAAUACCCGCAUACGCCCUUCGGGGGAAAGCAGGGGACCUUCGGGCCUCGCACUAUUAAACGGCCGAUAUCGGAUUAGCUAGUUGGUGGGGUAACGGCUCACCAAGGCGACGAUCAAUAGCUGGUUUGUAGAGAGGACGAUGACCACACUGGGACUACAGAGACACGGCCCAGACUCCUACGGGAGGCAGCAGUGAAAUUUUUGGACAAUGGGGAAACCACAGUCAGCCAUCCAGAAACAUUGCUGAUGAAGGCCUUCAGGUUGUAAAGCUGCUUUUGGCAGGAAAAAGCAGCGCGGGGAUAAUACCCCGUGCAACUGACUGACACCUGCAGAAUAAGCACCGGCUAACUACGUGCCAGCAGCCGCAGUAAUACGUAGGUGCAAGCGUUAAUCGGAAUUACUGGGCGUAAAGCGUGCGCAGGCGGUUCCGGAAGAAAGAUGUGAAAUCCCAGAGCUUAACUUUGGAACUGCAUUUUUAACUACCGAGGCUAGAGUGUGUCAGAGGAGGUGGAAUUCACGCGUGUAGCAGUGAAAUGCGUAGAUAUGCGAGAGGAACACCGAUGGCGAAGGCAGCCUCCUGGGAUAACACUGACGCUCAUGCACGAAGGCGUGGGAGCAAACGGGAUUAGAUACCCUGAUGUCCCGCCUCAACAGUGUCAACAACUGUUGGGGCCAGGCCACCGUAAAGCUGCAACUAACACCUGAGAGUUCGGACCAUGCCUAUGGAUCACAGUUGCAGAUUCAAACACUAAAAAAAUUGUGAAACCUACAUGAUAGUAUACAAAUUAAUUUGACCCUUACUCACAAAACUUUCCUACUCCAACAUAUCCAAAAUCCAGCAAUUUAGAAAAUUACUAAAAACCAAAAACGGCAUUUAAGCCUUUUACUUUUAUAAAUCACUCAUCUUGUAAAAAUAUUCAGGGUGAUUCAAUCCCUAUUUAGUUUACUCUUAUCGUAAUUCUACAUGACGCUCUCUCUUAUACAUUUCUGACUGAUAAACCGGAAGAUGGGAUGUACGUCAGUCCUCACGCCUAUGGGUGCGGCACGUCCAUACAAUGGUCAGAUAAGAGUCGCGCCAACCGCGGGUCAAUCUAGGAAACCGAUCGUAGUCAGUGCGUCUGCAACUCGGCUGCGUGAAGUCGGAAUGUUCAGUAAUCGCGGAUCGGCAUGUCGCGGUGAAUACGUUCCCGGGUCUUGUACACACCGCCCGUCACACCAUGGGAGUGGGUUUUACCGAAGUAGUUAGCCUAACCGUAAGGAGGGCGAUUACCACGGUAGGAUUCAUGACUGGGGUGAAGUCGUAACAAGGUAG
rnacentral:rRNA from 1 species